rnacentral:lncRNA from 11 species
GUUUUUUUAAGCUCCACCCCUAAAUUAAGUGCAAAUGGAAAAGUCCACCAAAGGGAAGCUAAACCAGGAAAUGAACAGAGGAGAAAAAAAGGCUCAGUGAAAACAUCACAAGAAACCUUAUCCAAAAUCAACGCGUAAGAAAGAAGUGAAGCUCUGGUUUGAUUGUGCAGUGAAGCAUUACACAGAAGAUUGUCCCUCUCCAGUUCAGAAGGGCGUCCAGCCACAUGGUGGCAGUGUGAGACUUCUCCAAGAAGGAACAACUUUGCUGAUCUGGGUUUGCCAAGACAAAGAUGCACCUUUGGAUCCAUGGCUACAGGAGAUUUCACAUAUGACUUUGGGGAUGCAGAAACUUGGGCAUCUCACUCUGUAAAGAUGAUUGUCCCCACCUGAGUCCCAGAAACAAUUGAUUCCAAGGCUAUUGAUGUCCCAUUCCAGUUGCUCCAUUCCAAGAUGUUAAUCAUUUUGAACAACAGGAGAAGGCA